rnacentral:miRNA from 14 species
UAUUCAGAUUGGUGCCGGUCACA